CAGCAUUUGGUUAAAUCCACUCACUGGGUUACGACUAGAAUUCACAACAUAACAAUGUAGCGUAUCCAUUGGUAGACUAGACAGUGGGAUUGUUUCAAUCACGAAACUUUAAACUAAGUGCAGAUUUAGCAGAAUAUGAAUAGGGAAUUAAGAACAUAUAUAAUGAAAUAUUGACCUAAGAAUAAAUUUAGCUUGUGACAAAUGAACUAUACAAGGAUGAGUUAUAAACCAGGUGCGGUGUCUAACAUACACGAAUAUCUAGGUGACCUAAUAGAAAAAAGUAUAGAUUCGCGUACUAUAUACCCGUAAAGUGUUAUCUCUCAACUAUACCGUAAGAAAUUGUCAGGUUCCUGACUAGGACAAGUACAAACAAAUGUAGCGGGUUUAAAUAUUUUAUAGGCGCCAACCUUCACCCGAACUUUCAACAAUAGUGUAAUAAUGAAUGUUUUGAAUGCUGCUACAUUCAUAGAAAUUUUGAUUGACCAAUUUGAGUCUAAAAGAGGGGCGAAAGAUAAAAAAAGGGACGAAAGAUAACAGAGAGGCGAAAGAUAACCGGGGGACGGAAGAUAACAGAGGGACAUUCAAAUAUAUCAAUUUGUUUCUCUGACGUAGUCAAAAGACUAAAGGUGAAAAAACAUGUAUGUGACUAUCUACCAAAGGUUAGGCCUGUAAACCAAUGUUUUGUCAUUUUAUGGUCAUUUUUAUAAAUUUCCAGUUACAAAUCUUUAUAACUAUUUUGAUCUGAGCGUUACUGAUGAGUCUUAUGUAGACGAAACGCGUGUCUGGCGUAUUAAAUUAUAAUCUAGGUACCUUUGAUAACUAUUGUUGCUGUCUGUCAUAAUGUUUAUUAACUGUUUUUUUUAUGAAACUGUAAGCUUCUAUUUUAAAUUUGUUUGACAUUUUAUAAUACCAAGGCCUUUUAAAGCUUAUUACUUUGACAAAGGAUUAGUUUUGCGCAGUGUUGAAGGUCGUAUUUCUAUGUUUUGACUUGAUUGUUAUAAAAGUUUCAAUGUAUUAUAAGCUGUUUCAAAAUUUUGAUUUACAUCAAAUUAUUAUUAAGUUUUUGCAAAAUUCUAUAUCCUUCAAUGACAUUGUAAUUUGGACUAUAUGGUUGGAGUGAA